rnacentral:rRNA from 1 species
AACGAACGCUGGCGGCGUGCUUAACACAUGCAAGUCGAGUGCGCGUACCGUAGCAAUACGGUAUGGCGCACGGCGCACGGGUGCGUAACACGUGGGUAACCUGCCCUUUGAUGGGGAAUAACCUCGCGAAAGCGAGGCUAAUUCCGCAUAAGAUCCGCAAGGAUGAAAGCCGUAAGGCGUCGAAGGAGGGGCCCGCGCACGAUUAGCUAGUUGGUAGGGUAAUGGCCUACCAAGGCUUUGAUCGUUAGCUGGUCUGAGAGGAUGGCCAGCCACACUG